GCGGCGGGAAAACCUCAAGGUUCAGAGACUAAUGAACUCUGUAGUUCACUCGACGAUAAAAGUUACUUCUAAAGUCUAAUUCGAAGCGGUUCAAUGUCUCUUAGCACCUGGACAAUGAAGAAACAAGCGGUGUAGCGUGCAAGGACGGGAGUGGAGAAAGUGUCAAAAGAUGGAGGACGCACGCAAAUUUUCAGGACUUAUGCAGAUUCCAAAUACAGAUCAGCGGUUACCAGAAGUGUCUUCUGCAGAGUGGCACCCAUCUUGGCGGACUUGAACAACUCCCAACGACUCUUCAUGGUCCUCCGGAAGAUCUCGUGCACCUCGUUUUUGUCCUUGUUGACUUCAAUAUAGCUGCGGCUGUACCUAUGCCGGUGCUGAUGUCCGGAAAAAGGGGAUCAGGACGUUGGGCGUGUGCGUGCAAUAUGCAAAUGACACGAUACCUGUUUUCUGGCCUUGUACAAGUGCUUCUGCAGGAGAUGGUGACUGAAGUCCUCCGUGUCCUUUGCACCAUCCAUGGUCAGCUUCCGCAUUUCCAAGCUCACAUAUGGCUCCUCCUCUCUUUUCCUGGGGUAAACAAAUGGUAAGAGACAGCUCUGUUUGUUGAAGUUUAGUCCUGCACCACUGCAAACCACAGGAAUAAGUAUUGAGAGAUGAAUACCCAUUUGGCAAUGUCAUUCUCAAAAUGAGUGAAAGGGGUUGGGCUAUUAUAAGCAUCUGCUUC